UACGUAGGUCCCGAGCGUUGUCCGGAUUUAUUGGGCGUAAAGCGAGCGCAGGUGGUUUAAUAAGUCUGAUGUAAAAGGCAGUGGCUCAACCAUUGUGUGCAUUGGAAACUGUUAGACUUGAGUGCAGUAGAGGAGAGUGGAAUUCCAUGUGUAGCGGUGAAAUGCGUAGAUAUAUGGAGGAACACCGGUGGCGAAAGCGGCUCUCUGGACUGUCACUGACACUGAGGCUCGAAAGCGUGGGUUGCAAACAGG
rnacentral:rRNA from 1 species